rnacentral:lncRNA from 1 species
GGCAGAGGUGGGAUUGCAGUUCACUAAGGUUAUAUGAGCCAGCUUGGUUACGCAAAUGUGAAAAUGCACAUUUUCCAGCCUGUGUCAAGGUGGAAACAUCAGGGCAGAAGAACAUAACUGAUAAUAGCUGGUCACACCUAAGAAGCCAGGAAGCAGAGAGAAAUGGAGACCAGCCUACGAGGACACAUUCCUAGUGACCUUCUUCCCAACUUUGGGUUUCCACCAAUUCACAAGAACACCAUUAAUUAUGAAUUCAUCAACAAAUCAAUUCAUCAAUUAAGUUAAAGCUCCCAUGAUGCAAUCACUUCCCUACAUCCUCCCGUCUGAACAUCCUCGCCAUUGAGAACCAAGCCUUCAACACAUGAGUCUGGGCACAAUAAGUCACAUUGAAUCCAUUGAAGAUGUAAAUUUUAAUGGUUGAAAAUGACUAGCAUAUUAUGUCUGUGAAAUUCAGUAAAGGGGAAUAUGGAAGAGAACGUGUACUAAAACUAAGGGUUCUAGAACGCAUCUGUGCUCUUCCUUUCAAUCUGGAGAGUGAGACAAGGAAGUCUUAAGUUCAAGGCCAGCCUGGGCUAUGUAGUGUAUGCUACCAUUGGCUAUAUAAUUUGACUCCAGCAUUACAAGAAGUAGAGUAAAUAAAAGAUAAAAAAAAAUGACUAUAGAAGUAUCAAGAUAUUACGACUCAUUCAUAUGAUUUCUGCAAUUGAUUUAGUAUGGCAUAUGAUUUAGUAAUCAAAGUGGAUGAAGAUGAUAUAUAUGCAUUAAUAAGAAUAAGUAUGUGAGACUAAACACAGAAUGUCCACCAGACACUGGGCAGUAAUUAGAUUCAACUCUUGUAAAAAUGUUCAACAGGAAGAAAAAAAAACUAUAACUUUGCUUUAUACUUGGAUAGUUACUUUCAGUCAUACAGGUAUGGAAUAAAAUGAAAGGAAAAUGUAGAUGGGAUCUGAAGGCCAGCCUUCUAUUAUACUAUUAAAUUGUAGUGCAGGAAAGAAGAAGAGUUUGUUGUAUUUGAUGUUUUCCGAGGUUUUGUUUUUGUUUUUGAAGCAUCUUUUGUUUCACAGAUGCUGUUAAAUGUUGAACAUGACACAAUAAAAAGAAACAGACAAAAGUCACUGUCCUUGAGGAACUAGUAUGAAGAAAAAUCAGAUGUUAAUAAAACAAUCAUUCACAAGAUGUAAACUGUUGUUAGCUAUGUCCAGGAAGAGGGGUGGGGUGGGGGCAAGAUUGGAGAGCAGAAGCUUUCUAGAUGCACAGAGCAGCAGCAGGAGCAACAGUCUGGCAGUGGGCGUGGUAUACAGAAGACAGGGAGAGCCAUGGCUGGGGGGAAGGGUGAGAGAUGGGGCUAGAAAGGAAGACAGGACUUUGUAGAUCACAGAAACAGGAAGUCACCAAGGAGGCUGUGUAGUAGGAGAAGACUAAACAGAGCUGCGAUUUCAGAUCACUGUCUUUAAAAGAUGUAGAGCAGGUAGGAGGAGCUGUGGGGACAAGAGAAAAUGUCACCAGGGAUAGGGAUAAAGACAUAGUCCCACUGUGGAGAAGUCUAAAGUGUUCCCUUUUCCUUUGACACCUGCAUUCAGG